AGCAGCCGCGGUAAUUCCAGCUCCAAUAGCGUAUAUUAAAGUUGUUGCAGUUAAAAAGCUCGUAGUUGAACUUCGGGAUCAAUGGAUUGGUCAUGCCGUUGGUAUGUACUGGUCACAUUGGUUCUCACCUUCUAAGGAACCAUGAUGUCAUUCAUUUGAUGUUGUGGGGAAUUAGGACUGUUACCUUGAAAAAAUUAGAGUGUUUAAAGCAGGCUAACGCUUGAAUACAUUAGCAUGGAAUAAUGAAAUAGGACAUCGCAUUCUAUUUUGUUGGUUUCUAGGAUCGAUGUAAUGAUUAAUAGGGAUAGUUGGGGGCAUUAGUAUUCAAUUGUCAGAGGUGAAAUUCUUGGAUUUAUUGAAGACUAACUACUGCGAAAGCAUUUGCCAAGGAUGUUUUCAUUAAUCAAGAACGAAAGUUAGGGGAUCGAAGACGAUCAGAUACCGUCGUAGUCUUAACCAUAAACUAUGCCGACUAGGGAUCGGAUGAUGUUAAUUUUUUAAUGUA
rnacentral:rRNA from 1 species